AGUGGAUGGGGAGCAACCUAGUUGUGCGUGUGUAAAGGUAGUGCCAAGAAAAGCGGUGAUCAUGAUGAAAAUCAAUUCCCGGUACCCGAAACCGACACAGGUGGGCAAGUAGAGAAUACUAAGGGGCGCGAGGUAACUCUCUCCAAGGAACUCGGCAAAAUGACCCCGUAACUUAGGGAGAAGGGGUGCCACCGAGAGGUGGUCGCAGUGAAGAGGCCCAGGCGACUGUUUAGCAAAAACAUAGGUCUCUGCAAACUCGAAAGAGGAGGUAUAGGGGCUGACGCCUGCCCAGUGCCGGAAGGUUAAAGAAGUUGGUCAGUCUUAGGAUAAAGCUAGCGACUGAAGCCCCGGUGAACGGCGGCCGUAACUAUAACGGUCCUAAGGUAGCGAAAUUCCUUGUCGGGUAAGUUCCGACCCGCACGAAAGGCGUAACGAUCUGGGCGCUGUCUCGGAGAGAGGCUCGGCGAAAUAGGAUUGUCUGUGAAGAUACGGACUACCUGCAUUUGGACAGAAAGACCCUAUGAAGCUUUACUAUAGCUUGGAAUUGUGUUCGGGCUUCCUGUGCGCAGGAUAGGUGGGAGGCGAAGAAGGUAUUCUUGUGGGGAUACUGGAGCCAACGGUGAGAUACCACUCUCAGGAGGCUAGAAUUCUAACUUAAUUAAGGACAGUUUCAGGUGGGUAGUUUGACUGGGGCGGUCGCCUCCAAAAUGGUAACGGAGGCGUACAAAGGUUCCCUCAGACUGGUUGGAAAUCAGUCGCAGAGUGCAAAGGCAGAAGGGAGCUUGACUGCGAGAAGUACAGUUCGAGCAGGGUGGAAACACGGUCUUAGUGAUCCGACGGUGCUGUGUGGAAGGGCCGUCGCUCAACGGAUAAAAGUUACUCUAGGAUAACAGGCUGAUCUCCCCCAAGAGUUCACAUCGACGGGGAGGUUUGGCACCUCGAUGUCGGCUCAUCGCAACCUGGGGCGGAAGUACGUCCCAAGGGUUGGGCUGUUCGCCCAUUAAAGCGGUACGUGAGCUGGGUUCAGAACGUCGUGAGACAGUUCGGUCCAUAUCCGAUGUAGGCGUGAGAAUAUUGAGAGGAGCCUUCCUUAGUACGAGAGGACCGGGAAGGACGCACCGCUGGUGUACCUGUUAUGAUGCCAAUUGUAAACGCAGGGUAGCCAAGUGCGGAGAGGAUAACCGCUGAAAGCAUCUAAGUGGGAAGCCCACCUCAAGAUGAGUAUUCUGGUGUAAGGUCACGGGAAGACGACCCGUAAAUAGGCACGAGGUGGAAGUGCAGAGAUGUAUGAAGCCGAAGUGUACUAAUAGACCGUCGGCUUGACC
rnacentral:rRNA from 1 species